rnacentral:rRNA from 1 species
ACGAACCGGACGAACGUUAUUCGGAAUUACUGGGCUUAAAGAGUGCGUAGGCGGCUUUGUAGGUUGGGUGUGAAAUCCCACGGCUCAACCGUGGAACUGCGCUCAAAACCACAAGGCUUGAGGGAGGCAGAGGUAAGCGGAACUGAUGGUGGAGCGGUGAAAUGCGUUGAUAUCAUCAGGAACACCAGUGGCGAAGGCGGCUUACUGGGCCUCUUCUGACGCUGAGGCACGAAAGCUAGGGUAGCGAACAGG